rnacentral:rRNA from 1 species
UCGGGAAUUUUGGGCAAUGGGCGAAAGCCUGACCCAGCAACGCCGCGUGAAGGAUGAAGUAUUUCGGUAUGUAAACUUCGAAAGAAUAGGAAGAAUAAAUGACGGUACCAUUUAUAAGGUCCGGCUAACUACGUGCCAGCAGCCGCGGUAAUACGUAGGGACCAAGCGUUGUUCGGAUUUACUGGGCGUAAAGGGCGCGUAGGCGGCUUUGUAAGUCACUUGUGAAAUCUCCGGGCUUAACUCGGAACGGCCAAGUGAUACUGCAAAGCUAGAGUGCAGAAGGGGCAAUCGGAAUUCUUGGUGUAGCGGUGAAAUGCGUAGAUAUCAAGAGGAACACCUGAGGUGAAGACGGGUUGCUGGGCUGACACUGACGCUGAGGCGCGAAAGCCAGGGGAGCAAACGGGAUUAGAUACCCCGGUAGUCCCUGAGCGGGCUGGCAAGGCGCAU